UACAGAGGGUGCAAGCGUUGUUCGGAAUUACUGGGCGUAAAGGGUGCGUAGGUGGUUCUUUAAGUCUGCUGUGAAAGCCCCGGGCUCAACCUGGGAAUGGCAGUGGAUACUGGAGAGCUAGAGUGCGGUAGAGGGUAGUGGAAUUCCCGGUGUAGCAGUGAAAUGCGUAGAGAUCGGGAGGAACACCAGUGGCGAAGGCGGCUACCUGGACCAGCACUGACACUGAAGCACGAAAGCGUGGGGAGCAAACAGG
rnacentral:rRNA from 1 species